UUUUUUUUUUACUAUGACAGAAUCUUAGUUGACUGAUGGUCUUUGACAAAGACAGACUUGUUUUUGUGAGCUAUGAAAAAAAUUUGACUUUGAAAUAUUUUUACGAUUAAAAAGUUUCAGUUCACUUUUGAACGUUGACGAAGACGGACGUACUUUCGUGAGCUCUGACUAUUGAUGAAAAGUUUUGAGUUUUACUGACUUGUACUUUGAGAGUAAAAUUGACUUCGCGUUAUAGAAUAGCGACUUGGUACUCAGGUUGUUGAAUGACUGGAUGACUGAAGUGUUAGGUUAUUGUUAUGAGAUAACAACUUGACUUUGACUUGAGUUGUGAAAUGAAACCAUACUCUUAUGCGAUGUUAACUUUUGAACGUUUAGUAUUGACUGACAACGAAAUUUUGUGAGCGUUAUAUAUGAAAUGUUUGACUUACAUUAAUUUUUUUGAACGACUUGACUUCACUUUAAGUUUUGACAUCGGACUGAUCGGACGUGUUUUUUUAAGCUCUGACUGUUGUGAAUAAUUAAAUUUAUGUUGUGGUGUCAAGCGAUUGACUGUCAGUUGAGGUUCAGAUGUCGAGCUGUGCGGACGUGUUCAUCGAGCUGCUGUCUACAAAAAACGGGGCUGUGGUGAGUAUUGUAGUAUAAAUUUGUUUCAAUAAAUCAUGAUGAAUGAAAACUGAUUUCGAUUCGUUUUGUACAGGUUUACUUGUAUAGAAGUGUAAUGCGUUGGGUAGAAAUUAGAAUCUACUCAGUACUGAUAUAGUGUCGAUAUGUUGUGAUUAGCGAUGAUGGUGUAUGAUGGUGGAACAGAACAUGAGCUACUUUGGGGAAACGAACAUAUGAUUGAAAAAUGAUUGCAAACAUAGUAGAUGAAUGAUAUGAUAUUGCUUAAAUUGUAUUUGCAUGCUGUAACAUUUCUAUUCCAUUUCAGUGCGCUGUGGUGAGUAUUGACUAUUGUAGUAUAAAUUUGUUUCAAUAAACGAUGAUGAAUGAAAACUGAUUUUGAUUCGUUUUGUGUAAUUUUAGGGAUUUUCACUCUAUAACAACUCUGUCGGUUGGUGUUCAUGAGUGUGAGCUUAAUACAGCAAUGUUUGAGUAGUACAAAAAUGUUUUCGCUUUUGUGGUCGCCAGCUGUCCGUGAUCUGUAAAGUGAAAAUACACAGAGCUAUGAAGCAUACAAAUGUUUCGAAAUUUUAUCAAUGAUUGUAUACUAUGCAUGUUUUGAUUUAGUUCGUUUCAGAUUUGACAUGAGAUGAAAACCUGACAUGAUUUGAACAGAGCUGGGAAACGAAAAGGUAAGUCUGUUUCAUUCCACUAUGAACACUUGUAUUUUGACAAAAGAAGAGAUAAAGUGAGUUACUUUAUCAUCAUGGUUUCAUUUGGUGUAUUACACAUGAACAGAGGUAAACCUAGCUAGCUUUUCGUGUACUCUAUUUUGGAUGAUGAGUAUGUCAGUAACUUUAAUUGUACGGCUAGUAAAGUAUGAACAUGAAUGCUUUGUUCAGAUUUUCAGAUGUGUGCUGGCAGUUUAAGUCUGGCAGCUGGAGUGAACAGUCGUGUUUUCUGGAGCUCCAACAAUAUGCUAGAAGGUAAGUAACUAUGUUUGUUUUGCAUUGCAUGUUUUUAUAUGUUUCAGACUUUCAAGCAGAGAUGUCAUGCUGACUGGAGUUGAGCACAGGGCAGUGACAAAGUGAAAGGUAAGUACUUUUGACUGAAUGUUUGUUCUAUGCAUGUUUUGUUUUAAUACAUUUCAGGAGUGCUUAUCCAGUGAUGAUAUGACAGUUGGAGUGAACAGUGGAGCCAAGCAGUCUUGUUUUUGGAGCUACUCAACAAGCCUUGAAGGUAAGUUUAGAAUUUCUCAAUGUUAGUGAAUUGAAGUACUGUCACUUGCUUUUGGACAGUCGAACAGAACAGACGUGGUUGCGAGAGCUCUCAUAUCUGUUGUGUUAAACUGUUUUUAUGAUAUGUUAUGUUUGUUUGUUUGUUUGUUGGUGUUGUACUAUUUUUCAGAUGCUGUUGUCAGUGAUGGGUUUUCAAGCUGACCUGAACAGAAAAGCAAUCAUAUGGUAAGUACAAAUAGUUGUUAUAUGGGAUGUUUUGUGCAUGCUUUUAUGUUUCAGGUGUACUUGCAGUUAGAGACGAAGACGAUUCAAGAAGAGGACCAUAGGUCAGAAAGUGGAUGGAACAUACAAAGGGUAAGUUGAACCUGUGUUUUUGUUUGAUUUUUACCAUGCAUACUUUGCUUUGCUCUGUUUCAGAUUUCACAUGCAGAAAUUAAACAGGAUUUCAACUGCUGAGACACAAUUCAUCAAAAGUAAGGUAAGUUUUAAUUCAUUGAUUUGAGUUGUACAAUGUGUUCUUUACUUUAUUUCAGAUUCGAGUCACUGGUUUACACAUGGAAGAAGAUUUCCACGUCGGUUACUCAACUCUACAGAAGCAAGUGGAUGUCCAGAUGGCAAGCAGAACAGACGUGUUUCUUGGAGCUGCCAAACAUUCGUUUCAGAUACGACAUGACAUGAAGAGUUGACAGUCGAACAGAGCUGAGCAAAGCAGAAAGGUGUACUUGUAGUCAGCGACGAAGACGAUUCAAGAAGAGGAACAUUGCUGAGAAAGUGAAUGGGACUUGCAAACAGGGUAAGUGUUACAAUUGUGUUUGUUUGAUUUUUGCCAUGCAUACUUUGCUUUGCUCUGUUUCAGAUUUCACAUGCAGAAAUGGUCUCAUAGCAGUGCCAACAGUGAAUAAGGAUUUCAGCUGCUGUGAAACAACUCAACAGAAAGUAGGUAAGCAUUGAAUGAAUGCACUUGAGUUGUACAAUUUGAUGUGAUGCUUUUCUCUGUUUCAGAUUCAAGUUCCUGGUGUAGACAGAAAAAUGUGUUUGAAGAAGGAAUUCUACUACUGUGAUUCAACUCUACAGAAGCAAGGUAAGUAGAAACAAAAUUUUGGUUUAAUUUAACUCAUGUGUUUUGCACUGAAUGCUAUUUUUCAGGUCUCUCAUGCAGUGAGGGAAAAGAAGAAGAUUUCAAGAAAAAAUCACUGCUGCAACUCAGGCCGAUAACAAGGUAAGCGUUUACUAUAUUGUAUACAAAAUGUUUUUCUGUUUUACUCUGUUUCAGGUUUCAAUUGCAGAGAUGUUGCAGAGAUGUUUUGACAGCUUGUGACAGAAAAGAAAUUCAGCAGCUGUGUCUCGACUCUAGCCACGAGGUAAGUCAAAACAAAUAUACUGGUUUGUAUGUAAUGUUGUUAUGCCCUUCUAUGUUUCAGACUUACAUUGCUGUGACUGUUCGACAGUGGGUCAAAAAAGAGACGAAUACAGGUUUCAAGAAGAAAAUUGGCUGUUAAAACUCUGCACAAAAUAUGAGGUAAGUAAACAACUCUUUUGGUUUGUUUUGUGCCUUGUUAUGCUUAACUAUUUUUCAGAUUGAAAUGGUGGGUCGUUACAGAGCAGACUUUUGGACUACUGAGAAGUUGAGAAACAGAGAAUGAUUCAAUAUCAGCUAGGUAAGUCUUGAUUAUUGUGCAUUGCUAAAUGUUUUUUUUCAUUCCAGUAUGGCUGUGGUAAGUACACAAACUUUCUAUAAUUUAAUAUUGAACUGUUUUUAUGACCUGUAUUCUGCAUUGUAAAAUGUCUGUUUUUCAUUUCAGUAUCCUGUGGUAAGUACACUAACUUUCUUUAAUUUUCAUAUUGAACUGUUUUGAUGACUUGUAUACUACUAUGCAAUGCCUAAUGUUUUUUUCAUUUCAGUAGCCUGUUGGUAAGUACACUAACUUUCUAUAAUUUCAUAGUGAACUGUUUUGAUGACUUGUAUUCUGCUAUACAAAAUGUGUUUUUUUCAUUUCAGUUGCCUGUGGUAAGUACACUAACUUUCUAUCAUUUCAUAUUGAACUGUUUUGAUGACCUGUAUUUUGCAUUGUAAAAUGUGUUUCUUUUUCAUUUCAGUAUGGCUGUGGUAAGUACACAUACUUUCUAUAAUUUCAUAUUGAACUGUUUUGAUGACUUGUAUACUGCUAUGCAAAAUGUCUGUUUUUCAUUUCAGUAGCCUGUGGUAAGUACACUAACUUUCUUUAAUUUUCAUAUUGAACUGUUUUGAUGACUUGUAUUCUGCUAUACAAAAUGUGCUUUUUUCAAUUUCAGGUCAGCAAUGGUAAGUAUAGUGUGUUUCUUUAUGUAUAAUUUUGUAUACAUAUUGUUUUUUUCAUCAUAGCAUGUCUUUUAUAUUUAUGCUUUGUGUAAGUAAAAUGUUCAUAAAUCAUUCUUAUCUUCAAACUAAAAAUGUAUUGUGCUAUGCAAAAUGUCUGUAUGAUUUCAGUUGCCAGAGGUGAGUACCAUUACAGUUGAAAAGUUAGUUUUGUUUAGUUAAAGUUUUGGUUCACAGUUCUGUUUGUUAUUUGGCAAAAUUUACAUGUAUGCAUUGAGUCUUGAUUUCAGCUAGAUUGUGGACUGAAGAAGAUUGCCAGCAGAGGGAUUGGAUACAAGAUACAAACUUUACUGCUGGACGAGUGUUCUCUACUACUAGACGUGUCAGGUUUACUACCAGGCGAGCAGUGACAACAAGGCGCCUUUGUGGUAACAACACAACAAAAAACUGUACUGCUAGACGAGCAGUGACAGAAAGGCGCCUGAACAUGCAACACAAUACAAAAAAUGCCAAUUUGCAAACCUUGAUGUGGACACCGAGUAGUCAAUACAUACGUGUGGGGUACAGCUGCGACAAAACCGUGGGUCCAUCGCACCGAUAACUUGAACAUUGGCCCGCGUAUGGACAUCAGUGCAACUUUGUGAAUCCAUGUAACUUUGUGAAUCCAUGUAACAUUGCGAAUAUGUGUCGAUCAAAAAAUGUGAACAUUAUGCAAUGAAACGAACUCGGUGUUGCAAGUGGCAAGUGUUGACAGUGUGUAUGUUUAUGUUUAUGUUUUUACAUGAAAAAUAAAGGAGAUUGUUCUCCUACCUUUUUUUUCCUUGUUUUAUUGUGCUGGCCAGCAAUAUUGAUGUAUUGAUGUAUUGAUGUAUGUGUUUGUGUAUUAACGAUGUA